GCUGGCGGCAGGCCUACACAUGCAAGUCGAGCGGAUGAAGAGAGCUUGCUCUCUGAUUCAGCGGCGGACGGGUGAGUAAUGCCUAGGAAUCUGCCUGGUAGUGGGGGACAACGUUUCGAAAGGAACGCUAAUACCGCAUACGUCCUACGGGAGAAAGCAGGGGACCUUCGGGCCUUGCGCUAUCAGAUGAGCCUAGGUCGGAUUAGCUAGUUGGUGAGGUAAUGGCUCACCAAGGCUACGAUCCGUAACUGGUCUGAGAGGAUGAUCAGUCACACUGGAACUGAGACACGGUCCAGACUCCUACGGGAGGCAGCAGUGGGGAAUAUUGGACAAUGGGCGAAAGCCUGAUCCAGCCAUGCCGCGUGUGUGAAGAAGGUCUUCGGAUUGUAAAGCACUUUAAGGUGGGAGGAAGGGCAGUAAAUUAAUACUUUGCUGUUUUGACGUUACCGCCAGAAUAAGCACCGGCUAACUCUGUGCCAGCAGCCGCGGUAAUACAGAGGGUGCAAGCGUUAAUCGGAAUUACUGGGCGUAAAGCGCGCGUAGGUGGUUUGUUAAGUCGAAUGUGAAAUCCCCGGGCUCAACCUGGGAACUGCAUCCGAAACUGGCAAGCUAGAGUAUGGUAGAGGGUAGUGGAAUUUC
rnacentral:rRNA from 1 species